CACCUCACAUGCCCUUUAACACACCUUCACUAUUCCAUAAAUUCCUAGCCAAGUAAAUGAAUUUGAUGUUGCUCGAACACAACUUUUAAUAAGAAUCCCUAAAUUAUCUGAAGCCUUAGUAAUCCUUCCUAAUGAAUAACAUCUUUCAAUAGGAAUUCACGUGCACAAUUUUUUUCCAAUAGUUAUUUGACUUAAUUCAUCCAAUUUAUGUCAAUUCAACCCAUAAAUCAAUUUUAGGGCUCUAUUAGGGUUAUCAUGAGUUCCUAUUUUUCUUUGCCUCGGCAAUGGAGAAAAUAAAGAAGUUGUGAGCAAAGAUAUGGAGAAUAAUACCUGAAAUCUAAGAGAUAGGUAAGAAGAUGAAAAGAACUAAGAGUAUUGUUGAAAGUUUGAAGAAGGAGAACUGAAGUACAAGAGAUGGAAGUCGACAGAUGUUCAUGGUUAAGUCGGAAGAGAUUUUUUCUUUCUUUGAGCAUAAAUGACAAUUUUGC
rnacentral:lncRNA from 1 species